rnacentral:rRNA from 1 species
CAGUCGCCGCGGUAAUACGAAGGGUGCAAGCGUUAAUCGGAAUUACUGGGCGUAAAGCGUGCGUAGGCGGUUUGUUAAGUCUGCUGUGAAAUCCCCGGGCCCAACCUGGGAAUGGCAGUGGAUACUGGCAAGCUAGAGUGUGUCAGAGGAUGGUGGAAUUCCCGGUGUAGCGGUGAAAUGCGUAGAGAUCGGGAGGAACAUCAGUGGCGAAGGCGGCCAUCUGGGACAACACUGACGCUGAGGCACGAAAGCGUGGGGAGCAAACAGGAUUAGAUACCCCGGUAGUCCCUGUCUCUUAUAC